rnacentral:tRNA from 1 species
AUCAAAUUAGAGCUUGAUAGGAAGCUUUCCAUUUACACUGGGGAUUUAAUUGUGCAAUUCAAUUUAAUUUGAU